rnacentral:rRNA from 1 species
ACAACGCUGGCGGCAGGCUCAUACCUGCAGUUCAGCGGUCUUCGGGACAGCGGCGAACGGGUUAGUAACGCGUGGGAACGUGCCCUUUAUACGGAAUAGCCAUUGGAAACGAUGAUUAAUACCGUAUACGCCCCAAGGGGGAAAGAUUUAUCGCUAAAGGAUCGGCCCGCGUUAGAUUAGGUAGCUUGGUAGGGUAACGGCUACCAAGCCGACGAUCUAUAGCUGGUUUGAGAGGAUGAUCAGCAACACUGGGACUGAGACACGGCCCAGACUUCUACGGAAGGCAGCAGUAGGGAAUCUUGGACAAUGGGCGAAAGCCUGAUCCAGCCAUGCCGCGUGAGUGAUGAAGGCCCUAGGGUUGUAAAGCUCUUUCGCCAGGGAAGAUAAUGACGGUACCUGGUAAAGAAACCCCGGCUAACUCCGUGCCAGCAGCCGCGGUAAUACGGAGCGGGGUUAGCGUUGUUCGGAAUUACUGGGCGUACAAGCGCACGUAGGCGGAUUAACUAAGUCAGGGGUGAAAUCCCGAGGCUCAACCUCGGAACUGCCUUUGAUACUGUUAGUCUUGAGUACGACAGAGCGUGAGUGGAAUUCCGAGUGUAGAGGUGAAAUUCGUAGAUAUUCGGAGGAACACCAGUGGCGAAGGCGGCUUCACUGGCUCGGAUACUGACGCUGAGGUGC